rnacentral:rRNA from 1 species
AGAGUUUGAUCCUGGCUCAGGAUGAACGCUAGCGGCAGGCUUAAUACAUGCAAGUCGUGGGGCAGCGCAGGUAGCAAUACUGGGCGGCGACCGGCAAACGGGUGCGGAACACGUACACGACCUUCCGAUAAGUGGGGGAUAGCCCAGAGAAAUUUGGAUUAAUACCCCGUAACAUAGCGAUGUGGCAUCACAUUGCUAUUAUAGCUUCGGCGCUUAUUGAUGGGUGUGCGGCUGAUUAGAUAGUUGGCGGGGUAACGGCCCACCAAGUCUACGAUCAGUAGCUGAUGUGAGAGCAUGAUCAGCCACACGGGCACUGAGACACGGGCCCGACUCCUACGGGAGGCUGCUGUUAGGUUUUUUGGUCAAUGGACGCAAGUCUGAACCAGCCAUGCCGCGUGAAGGAUUGAGGUCCUCUGGAU